rnacentral:lncRNA from 1 species
ACCAGAUGGUGAGCCCAGAGGAAGACCCCGUGGCUCUGGGCCAGUGUGCGUCAGCCAGGUCCCCAGCCCCCAGUGUGCUGAAGCUCAGGCCCUUCCCAACGCCCUGGUCUCCUGCACUGAGUGAGCUCUUCCGCCCAUUUGGGCCCUCUGACAUUGACCGGCAUAGAUGGUGAGCUCGGAGGAAGACUUGCAUUGGGCCCAAUGGAGCUGGGCCAGUUUCUGUCAGCCAGGUCCCCAGCUCCUGAUGCACUGAAGCUCAGGCCCUUCCUGGAGCCCUGGUCUCCUGCCCUGAGCUGUGAUGGUGAGCCUGGAGGAAGACUUGCACUGGGCCUUCUGUGCGCCGGCCAGAGGCCAUCAACCAGGUGCCCAGGUCCUUUUGUACUGAAGCUUGGGCCCUUCCUGGCACCCUGGUCUCCUUCAUGGAGCUGAUGGUGAGCCUGAAGGAAGACUUGCAUCAGGACCAAUGGACCCUGGCAAGUGUCCGUCAGCCAGGUGCUCAGCCCCUGGUGCACUGAAGCUCAGGCCCUUCCUGGCCCCUUGAUCUCCUGCACUGAGCUGUGUGAGCUCUUCUGCCAAGGGGGGGCCUCCUGGCAUUGACCAACAUAGAUGGUGAGCCUGGAGGAAGAUUUGCAUUGGGCCCAAUGGCCCUGGGCCAGUGUCUGUCAGCCAGUUUCCCA